UCCCAGCCCUCCUCUUCUGCUCGGCCGCCGGGUGGCGUCCAUUGAGGGGGGGGUACUGUCAGGGUCUGUGUUUUUGUUUCUUUUAGUUUUUCCUUUUUUUUUCUGUUGUGUCUCCCUGGAGCACCUGCUGCUUCUCAUGGCAUCCACCAGGUGCCGCUAGGAUGCAGAGCCCCUGGAGUUGUGCCAUGUCAACCCCGUCGACACACCUGCAGCUUGUUCGGAGGGCUCAGCCUGGGUGUUUAUAGGAGCGGCGGAACGACUCCUCUCCGCCUGAGUGUUUUGUUUACCUCGGUGAACCCGCCGUCUCCCUGUUGAUUCCCUGAGUGGGCCGUCUGCCCCGGAACCCUUAGCCUCCAGAUUUACUCGGUCGCCUCGGACGCCUCUCCAGGAAAGCAGGACUCCCUGACCGAGCUUGGAUCCACCUGGAGGUGCCUUGGCCUGGGCCUUGACGAAUCUCGCUCUGAUCGCUCUACCUGUCCGGCCUCCCACCAGCCCAGUUCUCCAGUGCUCUGCCAGCCGUCAUACUCACACCCUCCAAAUUUGACGAACCGGUGACCCGUUCCAGAAACCAU